UACGGAGGGGGCUAGCGUUGUUCGGAAUUCCUGGGCGUAAAGCGCGCGUAGGCGGACCUGCAAGUCGGGGGUGAAAGCCCGAGGCUCAACCUCGGAACUGCCUUCGAUACUGCGGGUCUCGAGUCCGGGAGAGGUGAGUGGAAUUCCUAGUGUAGAGGUGAAAUUCGUAGAUAUUCGCAAGAACACCAGUGGCGAAGGCGGCUCACUGGCCCGGAACUGACGCUGAGGUGCGAAAGCGUGGGGAGCAAACAGG
rnacentral:rRNA from 1 species